GGUUCUAUGGUGUAAUGGCUAGCACUCUGGACGCUGAAUCCAGCGAUCCGAGUUCAAAUCUUGGUAGGACCU
rnacentral:tRNA from 1 species